rnacentral:lncRNA from 1 species
UUACACAAAGCACUAAAACAGCCAGGCCUAGAAAUAACAUUGUUUCCAGAAGACUUUUGAAGCCUUUGCUUGCCUCUUAAUUUGCUCUUUAUAAUUUAUACUUUCUGUAUUGGAGGGAGCCGAUGGAUGGUGAAGCUGCAAGUCAGGCAGAGCCCCGAGCUUACCUCACUGCCAUUCACACUGGAAACUGAGGCAGCGAGCGAGCGAAGGCUUGCUCAGAUGGAAACGGUGAUUUCUGGCCCCCUUUAAAAUCAAGCAUAAAAUCAUAGCAAAGUCCUAAGUAGCGCAAGCAUUUGUCUUCUCAUCCAGUAGUUAAAUACAGAUGUAAACAUCACUUUAGCUCAGCAAGACUAGCUGGAGAAAACACUCUUAAUUCUGGGCAAGGAAAGGAAUUCUUUUUCUUUAAAACAAUUAAACUACUAAUGUACACACUCAGGCUCCUAAUAGGCUCGUAUCCUUAAACUACUUUCUGGAGACUUUGCUUCAGUCCCUUUAAAAUCUAAAGCCAUGAAGGCAGUUACAAAGAAACAAAAGCAGAUGAUAACAGCAUACACGGAUCUCAGAUAUACCGAGUGAAGUCAAAGAACCCAGACACAAAGGAGUGCGUGUUGCAUACAAUUUCAUUGCAGAACUACUGUCCUAAGAGCAGGCCACCGACUGCCGGAAUUCGGGUAGGGAGAUGGACUUGACAAGGCGUGCAGGCAUUUGAGAGGCAUGAGAGUUGGUAGGAUGACACAGGCACAUUGUAAGAACUCAUCAAACCAUGCCUGAAGUGAUACAUCGAAUAGGUCAGAGGUCAAAGCCCAAGUAAGACCUUUAGCAACAGGGAUAAGCUGGAGAGUGGAGUGGAACUGCACACUUAGAUUCAUGUUUAAUACCUUGAGUUUUCAUUUAAACUCACCCUCUGACAGUAAAGCAGGCAGAAAAGAAGAAAAAUCAGAUAAGUGGAAUCACACACAAACAUACUCUCCAUAAUGUUCUGAUCACAUCUGCUUAAAUGUAUGGUUUUCUUUGUUUCCUGUCUUUUUGUGGGUUUGUUGGUUUCAGAAAUCAUUGAGAAGAUUUCAAAAAUAAAGUAAUUUAAAGGAAUAUUUAAAUAUAGUAGAACGCAGCUUGAAACACAAGGAUUCACCAAGUGCUAUGUGAAAGGAUAGUCAUUUUAAACAUUUAUUUAUUCACUUGUCAAUUGUACAACCAUGAUAGAUUUGGGACAUAAUCUAUAAGGUUUUUUUCCUUUUUCUUUUGGUUUUUCAAAAUAGUGUUUCUCUUUGUUAGCCCUAGCUGUCUGUCCUGCAACUCGAUCUGUAGAUCAGGCUCAAAGAGAUCUGUCUGCCCCUGCCUUUGAGCUUCUGGAAUUAAGGUGUGCACAACUACAUCUGGCUUGUUCUCAUGUUUUAUUUUUUGAGAUGAUCUCUGUAGCCCAUACUGGCCUGAGCCUUGUGGCAGUCCUCCUGCCUCAGCCUCCCAAGUGCUGGGAUUACAUAUGUAAGUCACCAUGUUUGUAGUGUUGCCCCUCUCCGACCCCAGUCCCCCAUCUUGAAGGUAAUACCAGGCUUUUGAGGAUUUAAGUAGUUAGGUCAGAGCUAAAACAAUUGAAGUAAGUGCUUCAGCUGGUGAUUGAAUUGGUCUGUUUUCUGUCCAAGAGAGGAAGUGGGGUAAUAUGAAAGGCAAGGACAUACCUGGGCAUAUCUGCAAGUUUUUGACUCAGUAAAAUGGACUUUGGUGACAGUUUUGGCUUUUUACAGCUAGUAAUGUAAUGGCAGGCAUGGAUUCUUAGCUGAUGCCACAUUGACCCUCCAACAGGAUAGCAGCCUUGUCCUCAGUAGACCCUUUCUUCAGUCCUAAUAUCCUGCUUCUCGUGUUACUUGUAAAUUUUCCCCCAAAUCAUUUGCAAAUAUCCAAAAAAUGUGCUUCAUGUAUUUUCUUUGAUUGCAUGCCUUAAAGUAUCACUUUUACUAUAUGGCAUGGAACAUUGCUGUCAAAGUUUGAUGCCAGUUUUAUUUUCUUUUUGUGUGAAGGUGGAAAGGAUUUUUCCUUUUAAAAGUAUAAGAGUUUAGCUAGAACAUGUUUCCUGGGCUAGUUUCCACCUUUUCGUUAUGUUGUUUUGGGGUUUUAUUUGAGGAGAGUUUUCUUGACUUGUAGUGUUUAGCAUUUGUUCUGUUACAUGGCAUUGGUUUCCUCUUACUUUUGAAUCAUCGUGACAUUCAUAUUGAAUCAUCUCUCAUUGGUGUUGGAAUUCCAGGAGUGCCUGGUUCAAACUACUGCUUCAUAAAUAUGAAGGACAUAUUUACUAGUCCCAAGAAGAAGGGAGGCAAUUACCUUUAUCCUGAGAGCCAUGGCUCCCGGCAUCUCCUCCUUUUAAUUAUUUUCACUAAGGCCCCACGUAACUGGGGUGAUCAGUAGUCAUUUCAUCCUUGGAUGAGUGGGCGUUAGCCAGCGGGGAGCAUUGACCUGAUUCCUUCCGUGGGUACCGUCACCACCCACAGUCAUGGCUCUUGGUAUCUUUUGGGGAGGGGAGGCAGAGCCUUAGAAAAAUCCUUAGGAUAAGGUUGAAAACAGAUACCAACCUCCUUGCUGUGUGAGACCUUCCCCUGCGGUGCAACCCACGCUGGUGCCCAUACUGGAUUCAUUUUUAUCAAGAACCAGUAUGCACAGGUCUGAAUCCUAUGCAGCUCCUGAAGGAGAAUUAUCAACCCCAGGUUCAGCAAGGCCUCUGUCAGCCAAAUCAAGUCUAUGAUAAUGAAUCUGCAAAGGUCUCGAUGCCAAGGAAUCAAUCUGCUGGUUUAUACAACCGGUAAUUCUAUUAAAAAUAAAGGGCCCCAAAGUUACUAAUAAUAAAAUGCUUAUUAAAGGUCCAAGGAGGGGCAUCAAGAGGGUGUACAUAGAGGACUUCCACCAAUUAUCAGCAGUGGCUGAAAACUGUUUUCUCUGGAGUUCCAACUUAAGUUUAUGUAACUGUUAGAUUCGUGUUUCUACUACACCUGAUUCAUUUACAUAAAAGCAACAUUCUUCUUGCAGAAAGAGACAGGUGCCACCUUUCUCAGCAGUCAGCAAAUCAAGUGUUCUUCGAUUAUGUAAGGCAACUUGGGCAAGGGAAGUUAAUUGUCUCUGUAAAGAAGCUAAUGACUCAAUGGAGGCUUCCACUGCCAAUGCAAAUUGUUGAGAUAAUUUGGCGGUGGUAAGAAGAGAAUGGGUUAAAGCUCCUCCAGCCAAACCUGCAGCCACAACAGAGGUUACAGAGGAGAUGCCGGCCACUGCAGGGAGGAAAACAGCUCGCUUGAUUCUAAUAUCUGGGGGGCUAUCCCAGGUCAAAUACUCGGUGGGAGUUAGCAAGGUCAACUGAGGAACUAGGGUCACGUGAAGACACAGCAAUUUUUUAUCUAUGUUUUUGGAGAGAGUUUUAGUAAGGGUACCAUUACA